rnacentral:rRNA from 1 species
AUACGGAGGAUGCGAGCGUUAUCCGGAUUUAUUGGGUUUAAAGGGUGCGUAGGCGGUUAUGCAAGUCAGCGGUGAAACGCAAGGGCUCAACCCUUGACCUGCCGUUGAAACUGCGUGACUUGAAUGCGGAUGCUGUGGGAGGAAUGGGUGGUGUAGCGGUGAAAUGCAUAGAUAUCACACAGAACACCGAUUGCGAAGGCAUCUCACAAAUCCGUGAUUGACGCUGAGGCACGAAAGUGUGGGGAUCAAACAGGAUUAGAUACCCUGGUAGUCCACACUGUAAACGAUGAUGACUCGCUGUCGGCGAUAUACAGUCGGUGGCCAAGCGAAAGCGAUAAGUCAUCCACCUGGGGAGUACGACCGCAAGGUUGAAACUCAAAUGAAUUGACGGGG